AUAAAGACUUUUUGAAUAUGAACUUGGAGAAAGCCUCUCAGCUUUUUACGCUGAGAACUUUCAUAUUGAGCCGUGUGUUUUGGGUUGUGUAGAUAUGAAUAAAAAAUGUUUCUUAUAAGUGAAAAAGGGGAAAAAUGAUCGUAAAAAGCGUGGAUGGUUUCUCUAGGGCUUCACUGCCAUUUCCCAGGCCAUGCUAUUAAUAAGGUCAUGGGGGCCAGUGUUUGACGUACAAAAGUCUAAAAAAACUGUCAGGCCAAACAGGUCCAAAACUUAGUAAAAAAAAUAUUUUGCAAAAAGAAAAUUGUUAAAAAAGGGGAAAAAGGAGGAUGCAUAUGAAAGCAAAAUGUCAAACACUAGUUUUCAGAUUUUAUAGGGAACUGGAGUUUGACAGUUGGUGUAAUGGACUCGUCACAACAUGUGCAUCUCUUUACUUCUUUGUAAUUACUGUUUUAGCUUACUUCGUCUUGUCCAAUUCCUCUCGCACAUGACAAUGCCCGUGGUCCGUGGAUAUUUUGGAAAUUACUACUUGGCUUCUUUUAUUUUAAUUUUUUUUAAAAAUAAAACGAAUUAAUUUAUUCUUUAGGCUAUUUUUACUACUACAAACUAGCAACAUGGCUAUCCAAAUACAAUAUCAGAACAUUCAUAAGUUUAUGUAAAUGAGUUGUUACUCCAUUUGGAAGCAUUUGCAGUUAAUAUUCAUCCUAAGAACCGUUGCUUCAACGCACUACACUCUUAUUUUUAAUCAUUCUAAUUGCCCUGUAAAAAAGUCAGUUUCUCUGUUAUAAAAUAAUUGAUGUUUAAGAUUUUUUACACCAAUUCAAAAAUUACUAACUUUUAUUUAAUCCAUUUUGUUUUGCACAAAACAACAAUAA
rnacentral:lncRNA from 1 species